ACACGUAGGGGGCAAGCGUUGUUCGGAAUUACUGGGCGUAAAGGGCAUGUAGGCGGUUUAGUAAGCCUGGCGUGAAAGGCAGUGGCUUAACCACGGCAUUGCGUUGGGAACUGUUAGACUUGAAUCACGGAGAGGGAGCUGGAAUUCCAGGUGUAGGGGUGAAAUCUGUAGAUAUCUGGAAGAACACCAGUGGCGAAGGCGAGCUCCUGGCCGGUAAUUGACGCUGAGGUGCGAAAGUGUGGGGAUCAAACAGGAUUAGAGACCCUGGUAGUCCACACUGUCAACGAUGUGCACUAGAUGCUGGAGCAAGAGUUUCAGUGUCGGAGCAAACGCGGUAAGUGCACCGCCUGGGGAGUAUGCUCGCAAGGGUGAA
rnacentral:rRNA from 1 species